rnacentral:snoRNA from 16 species
UGAAUGAUGAUAUAUCACCGCCCCAGUCAUAAUUUUUGUGCUGAUUCGGAUUUACAGAACACGCCAGUUUUGCUUCUGA